ACAGGGAUUGCCCUAGUAACGGCGAGUGAAGCGGCAACAGCUCAAAUUUGAAAUCUGGCGUCUUCGGCGUCCGAGUUGUAAUUUGCAGAGGGCGCUUUGGCAUUGGCAGCGGUCCAAGUUCCUUGGAACAGGACGUCACAGAGGGUGAGAAUCCCGUACGUGGUCGCUAGCCUUUACCGUGUAAAGCCCCUUCGACGAGUCGAGUUGUUUGGGAAUGCAGCUCUAAAUGGGAGGUAAAUUUCUUCUAAAGCUAAAUACUGGCCAGAGACCGAUAGCGCACAAGUAGAGUGAUCGAAAGAUGAAAAGCACUUUGGAAAGAGAGUUAAAAAGCACGUGAAAUUGUUGAAAGGGAAGCGCUUGCAGCCAGACUUGCCUGUAGUUGCUCAUCCGGGUUUCUACCCGGUGCACUCUUCUAUAGGCAGGCCAGCAUCAGUUUGGGCGGUUGGAUAAAGGUCUCUGUCAUGUACCUCUCUUCGGGGAGAACUUAUAGGGGAGACGACAUGCAACCAGCCUGGACUGAGGUCCGCGCAUCUGCUAGGAUGCUGGCGUAAUGGCUGUAAGCGGCCCGUCUUGAAACACGGACCAAGGAGUCUAACAUCUAUGCGAGUGUUUGGGUGUCAAGCCCGAGCGCGUAAUGAAAGUGAACGGAGGUGGGAACCUUUCGGGGUGCACCAUCGACCGAUCCUGAUGUCUUCGGAUGGAUUUGAGUAAGAGCAUAGCUGUUGGGACCCGAAAGAUGGUGAACUAUGCUUGAAUAGGGUGAAGCCAGAGGAAACUCUGGUGGAGGCUCGCAGCGGUUCUGACGUGCAAAUCGAUCGUCAAAUUUGGGCAUAGGGGCGAAAGACUAAUCG
rnacentral:rRNA from 1 species